UACGAACGGGUACAGUACCUCGGGAGUAUCGCGCGUAAGCCUACGUCACCUAGUUGUUGUAUACACGACGACCUCAGAGCAGGCGAGACUACCCGCUGAAUUUAAGCAUAUUAAUAAGCGGAGGAAAAGAAACUAACCAGGAUUUCCUUAGUAGCGGCGAGCGAACAGGAAAGAGCC
rnacentral:rRNA from 1 species